CAGCAUGGGAAAAAGAGGAAGACCAGAAGACUCAGCAAGUCACAUGUAGGAUGUAGGGAAAGGUAUCAACAUCAUCCUUGGCAGAGAGAAGGUCAGAGAUCACCCACCUGUUGUGCCCAUGGAGUGUCUCAGGAGAACUCAGGCCGAAGGAAGCCCCUCCAUCCAAAGACUUGGACUUCUCAACUGGAGGUUGCAGGUUCUGCCACAGCAGGAGAGACAGCAGAAGCAAAAAACGAACAAUGAAUCCCAAGCCCCUGCUGCUGUGUAGAUGGGGUUCAAGAGUCCUGCCCUACCAGACAUUAGAGAACACAGGAAGAGCCUGGUGCCUGGAGGGGAGAGGGUGUGGCUGCCCUGACGACGGGAAGGAGGGGCCCUCUCUGUGUUUUGAGUGUAGCCCACAUGACCUGUUUUCUGCUUUAAAAUAAAACAUUAAAAGUCCCAA